AGAAGCUCUGUUAAUGUUUUUAUUCUUUUUUUUUGUUUUUAUUUUUUGUCUUUGUUAGUGGUUUUGUUUGUUUUUAGGGAAGAAUAAACAAAAAAAAAAAAAAAA
rnacentral:ribozyme from 1 species